rnacentral:rRNA from 1 species
AGGGAGACAGGUGGUGCAUGGUUGUCGUCAGCUCGUGUCGUGAGAUGUUGGGUUAAGUCCCGCAACGAGCGCAACCCCUACGUUUAGUUGCUAACAGGUGAAGCUGAGCACUCUAGACGAACUGCCGUUGACAAAACGGAGGAAGGUGGGAUGACGUCAAAUCAUCAUGCCCCUUAUGUUCUGGGCUACACACGUGCUACAAUGGCCGGUACAGACGGAGGCGAAGCCGCGAGGCGGAGCAAAUCCGAAAAAGCCGGUCUCAGUUCGGAUUGCAGGCUGCAAUUCGCCUGCAUGAAGUCGGAAUCGCUAGUAAUCGCAGGUCAGCAUACUGCGGUGAAUACGUUCCCGGGCCUU